rnacentral:lncRNA from 1 species
UUUUCCACUCCCAGCUCUCUCUUUUCCUCUGUCUUCUCCCCUCUCCACAUUCCUUUUGUCUCAUGUCUCCAUCUCUAUCUCCCUUCUUUGAAUCCCCCCCCGAGUCUCUGUUUGGCCCAUUGCUGUUGAGAUUUGCCUCCCGGAAGCAGACGUUCCACCGUGGGGCUCAAUUCCCUGCAUCUGGGCUUCUCUCUAGAUCCCUAGGAGCCAGGCAGUGCUCUCACUGGCACUUAGGGAGAGGCCCCCUGGAGCCCGUAUGGCAGGCUGGAGCCAGUGGGACAGGCUGGCUAACAGUGCCAGUGGGGCCUGUGCAAACUGCCCAGUCUGAGCCCUCCACACUCACCGCUCUGAACUUCAUACCGUGACCUUCAGCAGAGAGUUCCUGCUCGUGCACUUGGCUUCCUUGUAGAGAAAUGGAAACAUUCUUCAGUGGAUCAUUUGCAAACAAUUUUGUUUGAUUUAAUUCUUCCUCCAUUGCAAUAAUUUCAAAUAGUGACACUGAACUUUGUGUUUCAGGAGCUGCAGAAAAUACUGCUGCUGUCAUUGUGGUGAAUCAGACACCCCCUUCUAUCCGUGCAAUGGAAGGAUCAGAGUUCACCAUCGAGUGUACAUUCAACUCAAGCAAUAACUCUAUCAAGUGGUUUGGUGAUUGGAGUAAAACCAGAAACAAUGUAACAGCAAAGGUGAACAGUGUAAUAGAUCGAACCAUGUUAUCAGCAGAUACAGAAAAGAGGUCUCUUUCCCUCACUGUGAAGAAAGCCGAUGUCAUGGAUUCUGGAACCUACGUAUGUGGGGUUGGGAGCAAAUAUGGGACAUCUCCUGGGACUGGAACCCAAGUGACCAUCGAUGCACCUGACCAAAGGCCAAUGAGCUCUUACAUUGUUCCUGGAGCUGUGGCUGGGACACUUCUCCUCCUGCUGGUGCUCGGUAUCCUUUUGUGGAGAUGGAGACAGUGCUCCAAAGGUAAGAUUUACUUGGACAAUAAAUGUAAGCAAUUACUGCAUGAGGGGAGCUCAUAGGAUAACAUAAGAACAUAAGAAAGGCUGUACCGGGUCAGACCAAAGGUCCAUCCAGUCCAGUAUCCUGUCUACCAACAGUGACCAAUGCCAGGUGCCCCAGAGGGAGUGAAUCUAACAUGUAAUGAUCAAGUGAUCUCUCUCCUGCCAUCCAUCUCCAUCCUCUGACAAACAGAGGCUAGGGACACCAUUCCUUAUCCAUCCUGGCUAAUAGCCAUUAAUGGACUUAACCACCAUGAAUUUAUCCAGUUCUCUUUUAAAAGCUGUUAUAGUCCUAGCCUUCACAACCUCCUCAGGUAAGGAGUUCCACAGGUUGACUGUGCGCUGCGUGAAGAAGAACUUCCUUGUAUUUGUUUUAAACCUGCUGCCCAUUAAUUUCAUUUGGUGACCCCUAGUUCUUGUAUUAUGGGAAUAAGUAAAUAACUUUUCCUUAUCCACUUUCUCCACAUCCCUCAUGAUUUUAUAUACCUCUAUCAUAUCCCCCCUUAGUCUCCCCUUUUCCAAGCUGAAAAGUCCUAACCUCUUUAAUCUCUCCUCAUAUGGGACCAUUCCAAACCCCUAAUCAUUUUAGUUGCCCUUUUCUGAACCUUUUCUAGUGCCAGUAUAUCUUUUUUUAGAUGAGGAGACCACAUCUGUACGCAGUAUUCGAGAUGUGGGUGUACCAUCGAUUUAUAUAAGGGCAAUAAUAUAUUCUCAGUCUUAUUCUCUAUCCCCUUUUUAAUGAUCCCUAACAUCCUGUUUGCUUUUUGGACCGCCUCUGCACACUGCGCGGACAUCUUCAGAGAACUAUCCACGAUGACUCCAAGAUCUUUUUCCUGACUUGUUGUAGCUAAAUUAGCCCCCAUCAUAGUGUAUUUAUAGUUGGGGUUAUUUUUUCCAAUGUG